CACGGGGGGAGCAAGCGUUGUCCGGAUUUAUUGGGCGUAAAGAGCUCGUAGGUGGUUCGGUAAGUCGGAUGUGAAAUCUCCAGGCUCAACCUGGAGGGGUCAUUCGAUACUGCCGUGACUAGAGUUCGGUAGGGGAGUGUGGAAUUCCUGGUGGAGCGGUGAAAUGCGCAGAUAUCAGGAGGAACACCCGUAGCGAAGGCGGCACUCUGGGCCGAUACUGACACUGAGGAGCGAAAGCGUGGGGAGCGAACAGG
rnacentral:rRNA from 1 species